rnacentral:rRNA from 1 species
UGAGGAGUCUUGGACAAUGAGCGCAAGCUUGAUCCAGCCAUAUCGCGUGAGUGAAAAGAAGGCUGACCUGGUCGUAAAGCUCUUUUGUCAAGGUACAGAUUAUGACACCCCUUGAAGAAAAAGUCCCGGCCAAUUCCGUGCCAGCAGCCGCGGUAAGACGGAAGGGGCAAGCGUUAUUCGAAAUGAUUGGGCGUAAAGCGCACGUAGGCGGUCUGGGACAGUCUGAAUGAGAAAGACCAUGGCUUCACUAUGGGACCUUAUUCUGAUUACCUUCAUUUUAUGAUGGUAUUAGUACGAAAAACUGCCGGACUCGAGUGAGUAAGAGGAAAGUGGAAUUUCUGGUGGAGAGGUUAAAUUUGUUGAUAUCAGAAGGAACAUCGACAGCGAAGGCAACUUUCUG